CAGCUGGGAACCAGAGGGGCAGCCACAGUCUGCAAACACUGGCCGGAUUAUAAAUGGAGACCAUUCCCAUCUCCCGGGGUUCUUGGGGGAUCAAUGCCUUCAGGACACAAGUCUACCUUAAGACCCCAUUUUGGAAGACACUUGUUUGAUAAGCAUCUCAAGUGUGACUGCCUUUGACCUCUUCAAGGACAGUGUUGCUUCAGGACGCCAGCAGGAGCCACUGGAGUGGGGAGCCAGAGACAGCACUCCUGGCAGUGUGCGAUGUGAUUGAUACCCUCAGACUCUCUGGGGAAUCUUCAGUAAAAUCUCA
rnacentral:lncRNA from 12 species